UUAUCAAAGCUCCCCAAGAUCAUCAAUCAUGUGAGGAGAUUGAAGUUUAGAGGAGGAGCAACAACGCUCCGGCCAUCGAUUGCACUGAAGCCCCCUUUUGGAGCCUGCAUGGGCACUUAUACGCACAAAACAGAAGCAGGCCAUCUAUAUCCCCUUUAAUAUUAAGCUCCAUCAAUGCUAAUAAUGGCAUCAUGGCUGUAUUGAUAGGUUCUCACAUAAAGGCUCCAUUUAUGGUUAUUUGUUGAUGGUCGAAAUUAAUUAUUCACAGGUUUGGAUGAAGGUAGACACACGCUCAGGGAGAGAGGGGCUGUGGCUACUGUUGGAGGGUCAAUAAACUCUCCCAACAAACAAAAUGCCAAACAGAGUGGAUAGGGGGGGUCGAUUAGAGAAAUUUCAGGAGUUUUUUUACGGUAAAGAUUUAAUAAAUUAAACCGUGACAACAGUUAUGUUUGUUGGCAUAAAGGGGGGGUGGGAAGUGUGGGACUGCAGGGUUUGACAAACGGCUGUGUGGACAUUUCAACGUGCAAUACCCCGGGAAGGAGCUGCAGAGCUGUGCGCAGAGAGCCCAGGCACCCACCGUCUCCAAGUCUCUCUUUCACACUCUGUAAACACUGCAGACUCUGCUAGUGAAGACUCAUAUUUUCAUAAGCUAAAUACUAUCGUUCACAUUGAUUUGUGCGCUUGACUUUUUUCUUUCCACCCCUCCUCCAUAUGGACAAGCACGCAUAAACUGAUCAACUUAAUCAUUUAUUGUUUCCUGCUGUGUAAUGACGCCUUGAUCCUGCCAACAAGACCUUUGACACCUUCGACACAAGCAAGUGGAAGGUGAUCUGGGUGAACAAUGUCAUCGCUCUGGAAACGAAACAGCCCGACGAGAGAGAAAGCUCAUUUCUGCUCCGGAGCAGACAAGCGGCGUCCUGGGAUUUCGGCGGGAGCACACAGAAGAGUACCUGUAAUUUGACUUGCCACGUCUAAAUGGAAGUUGAAUGGGUUACAUUGUGCAACAACAAAUAAAAUGCUCACAAUGCUU